rnacentral:rRNA from 1 species
CCUACGGGCGGCAGCAGUGAGGAAUAUUGGUCAAUGGGAGAGAUCCUGAACCAGCCAAGCCGCGUGAGGGAAGACGGCCCUAUGGGUUGUAAACCUCUUUUGUCGGAGAACAAAACCCGGGACGUGUCCCGGACUGCGUGUAUCCGAAGAAAAAGCAUCGGCUAACUCCUUGCCAGCAGCCGCGGUAAUACGGAGGCUGCGGGCGUUUGCCGGAUUUAUUGGGGUUAAGGGGUCCGUGGGCGGUCCGUUAAGUCAGCGGGAAAAUUGAGGGGCUCAACCCCGUCGAGCCGUUGAAACUGGCAGACUUGAGUGGGGGAGAAGUACGCGGAAUGCGCGGUGUAGCGGGGAAAUGCGUAGAUAUCGGGCAGAACUCCGAUUGCGAAGGCAGCGUACCGGCGCCAGACUGACGCUGAGGCACGAAAGCGUGGGGAUCGAACAGGAUUAGAUACCCGGGUAGUC